UAUAUUUAAAACUUUAUUGGUUCAACAUUCUAAACAGAUUCAGAGGUUUGUGAAAAACGACAUAGACCUGAAAAAUACAAGGGAAAGCCGACUUUGAUAAAAAGCACAGCAGUCCCCAACUCGAUGAUAAAAUCAAAUCAAUUCUCAGGUCUACAAGUAUGUGCACAGUUGGAGAAAUAAAGAUGACAAGCGUGCACGUAUCCCUCCUUGGAGGGGUCAGCAACAGCCUGUUCAAGUUUUAUUCGAUAAUGAUCCUUCCGCAGGUUCACCUACGGAAA
rnacentral:misc_RNA from 1 species